AACUAUUCAUCAUCAGAACUAAAGCAAUCAAGAGAAGAAGAAGCUAGCUACCAAUUGCUGAAGCUAUGGCACAAAAGACCUUGUAAGAAUUCUCUGCUCCAAGCCUUGAGAACAUUCCAACUGGUCCAAGAUUUGCUGUAGAAGAAGGAGUACUUGAGUUCGAGCUCAUGUCAAGCCUCAUCAAUUUGGUAAAAGCUACAAAAUUCAGUGGAAAGGCACAUGAAGAUGCUAGUGCACACUUGCAGAAUUUC
rnacentral:lncRNA from 1 species